CCACUUUAUUUUAAUUAUGGUCUAGCCAGGAGAGGUCUUUUCAAAAGACCUGGUUCAGUGGGUUGGUUAGAUUUGUUCCACUGAAAUUUCAGGGCAAUGCUAAAAUGCUCAGCUUUGGCUGGAUUAUUCCCUAUAUGUGCACUAGUUGAAUUCUGUCCUGAUGAUUCUAGUCGCUCUCCCCAAAUCCAUUGGUAUCACCUGAUGCCUGUGGACUGGAGUCAGUAAAUCAUGCUCACUUAGGGCACAUUUUUGACCUUGCUGUCAAGUAUUACUUCACAGUUACAGCCCUUACCUCCAGGUGUCCUGGCACACAGCAAAGGCAUCUACUGCUGAAAGUCCCCCCUCUCUUUUAAAAAUUAUAUUUUCACUUAGUAUACAGUGUUCUUGCUGUUGUGUACUGGCAACAGCAAGGACCACCAUAGCUCGCAAUUGGAAGGAUUUUCAUGAGGUGAUAUUAGAUCUAUGGUAUCAGGGAGCGUGGCAGGUUGCAAUUUUGGAAAUAAUAAUAAUAAUGCAAAAGUUGAGGGUUGCUGAUGGGCAGAAAAGAGGGCACUUUUGAAUCAAGUUGGUUUCCAUUUAUUAACUUUGCUAAUGCAGUAUAACAUGGUUGAUUUCUGCUAUCAGCAUAUGCUCACCAAUGGACAUACUAACUGAUUUUUGCUACUAUUUAAUACCUACCGUAUGUACACCUAAAAGGAAGGAGAAGAGAAAUUGACUGUUGUGGUUUUUUUAGCAGUACUACCGUACUGAAUUUUGAAACAAUGCAUUUUCACUUCUUUGGGUGCAUACUUUUCAUUUACUGCCAACUUACCUUAUUGUCUGUAUGUGCUGUUUAGCUGGUGAUAUAUUGCAAUAUUGAAAACCAGUUAUCGCCCAGCCCUACAAUAUAUAAAGAUAUCUGUGGAAGUCUUAUAGCAACCAGGAUGCCAAAAUAUACUUUAAAGGUGAGAUCCCACCCCCAUACAGUCUGAAGAAAUAAAUACUUGAAGGGAGUUAGAUACUUCUUUUUAAAGUUUUCUUUCAAUUUUGUUUUGUUUUUUUAGCAUCAAUAAUUUUUGUGUGUGACAUUAAAGGGAGAUAGUUACCACAUGCCGUAGAAAUCAUCCUUUACUGUUUGCUGUUUAUUUUUUGAGUCUACCAAGUUUGGAGUUUAUUCGUUCUGUCAAUAAGAGAAAAAUCUAGCAAGUUCAAAAUAAGAAACCACCAGAUCAUGAAUCAUUCCAAACAUUUUUUUUAAAAAAACUGAGCCCAACUUUUUUACACAAAUCUAAAGGUGGCCGUCAGCUGACCUCAAAACUUCCCCUGUAUUUCUCUCCCUUUACAUAUUGUUAUAGUACACAGACAAAAAUAUUAAUAGAUUAUUUCAUUGACUGCAUCCAAACCAUGACUCUUAUAGGCAGUGGCUUAGUAAUAAAGCUCAGCAAAGCAUUUGACAAGUCAUGCCUAGAAUACUCUGCAGCAUUAGCUUCUGGCUUCGUACCUUCCUGAUCAAAGGCUAGUUUGGUGUCCCAGCACAGACUCAACAAAGUGAAAUCAGGACACCCUGGCAGCCUUUAACCUGCAAUUUUCAUGCCUGAAAGGAAGUGUGCCUCAGCUUGCGCUGUGACCGCUGUAUAAUUAAUUUGCUCAAUUUCUUUCAAACCCAAAAUUAAGACAGAAAGUGACCCGCAGGCACCAGUUCAGAAGCAGGGUGUUUUUUUUGGGGGGGGGGGUGUUCUUUCACAGUUAUGUGCUUGUUAUAAUUGUUUCUCUUUUGGCCCUUGUCAGCAACCAUGCAGGUUUCUCUGUAUUUCUAAAGUUCCUUUGCCCUAGACUACCAGGUACCCAAACAAGCGUCUCCACCCCCAUCGUUCUGCCUGGACACUGAGAUCUAGCGCUGAGGACCUUCUGGCGGUUCCCUCCCUGUGAGAAGUGAGGUUACAGGGAACCAGGCAGAGGGCCUUCUCGGUAGUGGCGCCUACCCUGUGGAACACCCUCCCAUCGGAUGGCAAGGAAAUAAACAACUAUCAGACUUUUAGAAGACAUCUGAAGGCAGCCCUGUUUGUUGUUGUUGUUUAGUCGUGUCCGACUCUUCGUGACCCCGUGGAUCUACAUUCAGAGCACACCAGGCACUUCUGUCUUCCACUGCCUCCCGCAGUUUGGUCAAACUCAUGCUGGUAGCUUUGAGAAAACUGUCCAAACAUCUCGUCCUCUGUCGUCCCCUUCUCCUUGUGCCCUCAAUCUUUCCCAACAUCAGGGUCUUCUUCUUACUAACUUAGCCACUGAAGAGUCACAUCAUGCCAGGCAAUGCCCUUUGACCUUUGCUACAUUUGUAUAUCACACUGCAAGCUGCAAAAUUUUCUUUCUCUAGCUACAAUGACCUUCCCUCACUUGUAGAAAUAAUUAUUUAUAUUUUGUUCCUUUGUAAAACAGUAGUGCCAUGGAGAUAAGGUAAAGGUAAAGGGACCCCUGACCAUUAGGUCCAGUCGUGGCCGACUCUGGGGUUGCGGCACUCAUCUCACUUUAUUGGCCGAGGGAGCCGGCGUACAACUUCCGGGUCAUGUGGCCAGCCUGACUAAGCCACUUCUGGCAAACCAGAGCAGCGCACGGAAACGCCAUUUACCUUCCCGCCGGAGCAGUACCUAUUUAUCUACUUGCACUUUGAGGUGAUUUCGAACUGCUAGGUUGGCAGGAGCAGGGACCGAGCAACAGGAGCUCACCCUGUCACAGGGAUUUGAACCGCCGACCUUCUGAUUGGCAAGUCCUAGGCUCUGUGGUUUAACCCACAGUGCCACCCAAGUCCCUAAGUAUCUCCAUGGCCACUGUGCCAUGGAGAUACUUAGUGGCAAUUCUUCCUCCUUUUAAAACUUCAGAAAAGCAUGGGCCGACUAAUUGUGUUAUAAACGUGCCUCUGUAUCCAGCUUCCAGCAUCAGCCAAAACUCACACAGCCAUACUUCCCUAUUGGCAUAUUGGUCUCUGUCCUACUAGGACGGUCCUAGCCUGACGUUACAUUCAGCCAGGUGAGGUGCAAAAAGGCCUGCCCAAUUGUCUCUAAGGCAACAGGAAAACCUCUUUGAACAUGUAACUGGCAAUGCAGUAGGAUUGCAUCUUGCAUGGGGGUUACGUUCUAGGGGUAGUAUGCAAAGUCAACCUUAGCUUCUGGAGCCAGAGCAAAAUUUCAUGAAGGCUCCCGGUCCCAUGUGAGACCUUCCCGAAGCCUGGUAAGCAAGGCAGAGAGCUUAGAAGCUCUUUCUGCAUCAGAAAAACCCAGUGUGGAAAGUGCUUUUAACCUUUCUGCCUUGCGUGUGCUUAAUUUGUGCAAUAUCAGAAGGCUGGCUGCCAAGCACAUAAAGCUAUAAUCACACAAGUUAAACGUGUGCAAGUUACGAUCCUACUGUACUUAACUGACCAGCUAAGGAUGUUACCUUACAAGGCAACUGUCUGGUUGGGUCAGUGGCCAUUUCUACUAGAUUCUAAGUCUCAUUGGGAUGGAAUCACAGGCCUGGAAGAGACCCACAGAUAUAUUCCAUACUGACACCCCCCCCCCCGAAACCCUAUGGGAAUAUAAUCAAAUCCAAUUAAAAGUCAAUAAAGAGGCAGUCAACAGGAAUACCAGGUCAACACUGUGAACCAGGAAAAACAGUCAGGAAGACACUCCAUUAAAUAAAUGCAUGCACAUAGAGAAAGUGUGAUACAGAAGUACACAGAGACAGCUCAUUUCAGUGACUUAAAUGCAAGUUUUUCAAACCAGUGCAGUCAUAGAAAUAAACUUCUCUUGAUCUGUAGCAUCCAGUCAACUCUAAUUUUUCUCCGUUUGGUCAUAUGCUCACACAUAUGAUUGAAAAGAAAGUAAGUGUGCCUUUCAUGUAUGAACUGGCCCUUGCCUCUCGUUGCAGUUCUUGCUCAAGGAAACGUUUUGUUUCCAUGACUUAAGCUUCUGCCCUGUAGCCCUUGAAAUGUGGCAAACAGCCCAAUCCUAUGAAUGUUUACUUGAAGCAAAUAAGUCCUAUUUUAUUCAGUGUGACUUCCAAGAAAUUAUGCAUAGGAUUGCAGUCAAAGACCCAGCAUCCUUUUCUGGCGAAUCCCAAAGUGCUUCUGGUGUCUGGUAUUUUGCAGACAUGACAUCACCCUUUCUAUGGCAGCACUGCCAUCGGAUCGACGUCCUCUGCUUUCAGCAUUUCUACACAGCUGGGAAGAAUAUACACACACUUUUAGCUACGAAAAAAAUGCUGUUUAGCAUAUCUGGAAGCUAUGGAACCAGUAUAUUUUGUGUCAGGGUGAUUUUCUGGUGAUGUAGAAAAUAAAUAAACCCAGAGCUGUCAGCCUAUUUUUAAAAAUGUAGUACAGUGGUACCUCAGGUUAAGUACUUAAUUCAUUCCGGAGGUCCGUUCUUAACCUGAAACUGUUCUUAACCUGAAGCACCACUUUAGCUAAUGGGACCUCCUGCUGCUGCCGCACCGCCAGAACACAAUUUUUGUUCUCAUCCUGAAGCAAAGUUCUUAACCUGAGGUAUUAUUUCUGGGUUAGCGGAGUCUGUAACCUGAAGCGUAUGUAACCUGAAGCGUAUGUAACCCGAGGUACCACUGUAGGUACAUUGUAAGUUUAAACUGAUUAAUCAAUAAAUAUGCCUUUUAAUUUUUUUUACCAAUUAUAUACUACUCAUGAUUCAAUAAUUAGCUGCCCAGAGUGGCUGGGGGAACCCAGCCAUAUGAGUGGUGUAUAAAUAAUAAAAUUAUUAUUGUUGUUGUUAUUAUAUUUCUUCAUAAUUCAUCAUGACUUAGUUGCUCAUCUGUUGGCAGCGACUGCAAAUCACACUCUUUCAGUCUCUCUCUCCCCAUCUGCAAUAUGGGAGAUAAUAGCACUUUAGAGUGUUGUUGCAAGCAAGACAGCUAGAUAAUACACAUAAAGUGCUUUGGGCAUCUGAAAGCUCUAUACCUGUGUUUUAUUACUUAAACCAAGUAUUAUUAUUACUUACACAUUUGCAAUGCAUCUUCUGCAGUUAAAAGUAAUUUCCAAAGAAUGCCAAUUGUGCAAUGAUACUGUUUUAAAACACAGUUUGAAUGAGUGUUGCUUAACUACUCUCGAACAAAUCUUCAAACAUACGACCAAGAUGUUCUAUUGGGAUUUCACUGUUUGUUCCUAUCUGUAAAUAUGUCAAUACUGAAGCAUGAGCACAUGAUGUAUGGGAGAAAUUACACAACCCUAAGAGCAAACAGAUAGAAGUCAACAAGUCAUGAAGCAAAACACAUGCAUGCCUGACAUGACCUUAAACGAAUCUUAAGUAAGCCUAUGUUUGUAAAAAGCAAAAUAGGAUUCAUCCAAAUAAACCCAUAAAAACAAAUGCACUGUAUGCAUGUACUCAUAGCCCGUCUGAUUUCAUGCUUUAUUCAGUUUACGAAGUAUAAAAUUGUGUAGAAUCAAACACCUAAAAACCAGGCCUUUUUUCCAGCCAGAACUUGCCAGAACUCAGUUCUGGUAUCUCUUAGGUGUGCACCAUUGCCAUUAUAAGAGAACAAGGGAGGUGUUCGUGGUGAAUUCCGGCACCUCUUUUUCUAGAAAAAUAACACUGCUAAAAACAAAGAUAAUCCCUUGAAGGUGUUACUAAGUUAUCUGGAGAGCUGUAUUGGGAAAAAAACCCCAAAUGUUGAAAUUAUGAUUACUGUGUUAUUGGCAGCAAAAAUGUUUAUAGCUUACUAUCGGGGAAAUGAUAUAAGUUUUACUCAACUAACUUCUGCUUAGGGAACUACUUCUGGGUCACAGAGGAUACGUGCUCCUGACUGUCAAAAGCAGUAGCUCCCAGUCUCCACCUUUCUCCUCAUCCUAUAAGGUCUUCUAAAGCAAAAUGCAAUAUGUUGCUUUGCAAAUGUCCCUCUCCCUGUAGUUAAUGAAGUGAAGGUGAAGAAGCUUGCAGAGUGAUGGUGUCAUGUCACAAGUUUUGUAUGAGCACAAUCCAAAGAUCUGCAGCAGCUUUGAGUUUGGAUUUGAGGCUUCCCCAGAAGUCUCUCCCAGUCCAUAAACAGUUGUAGUUGUCAUUCCAGUUGGUAAAGGGUGCUUUGAGCCACUGAGGCAACGGGACACUAGACUGGAUGGGUCUGCAAAUAUAUCCCCUUAUUUUGUGUGCCUUCAUCUCUGCUAUUUAUGUGACUAGCAGACCCUGUGUAAGAGUUCUUGUAAUUUAUGGUACUCUUUAAACAACAACAACAACAACAACCACCACCACAUAGAAGUAAAAGAGGGACAAUGGAACUGGGUUGUUUUUCAAACAAUGGAAGAUGGAUCUGAAAGCCAAAUAUGGAAAUAUCACUGUUAUUCACCAAACUGCAGUCUAAAAUAACAUCAAGUUGGAUAUGCUGUGGUCUCAAUUUAACUGCCUUUCAGAAAACAAAAAAUAACUCUUUAAAGCUUAUGGAGCAACUGGGUUCAUGCUAAUGUCAGCAAUGAGCCUUAGUUCUCCUCUUUUUACUAUUAAUUCCUCCUCUGGAAAAAAAGGAGUAUUUUUCAACUUUGAAAGAUGUCAGGCUAGAGUAAGAAAAGCGAUAUGCUUAUUUCUCCUCAUAGACUGAUAUGGUCAAUUUAAGAAAGGAAAAUUCCACUUUGGGUGCUAAUCUGUCAUAUCUUUUAAGGUGUGCAAAAAACUUCAAGAAAGUUGAUGGCCCAGCAGGGUUGGUUUAUAAAACCCAAUGAAUAAUUCUGUUCACCCAUCUUGAAAUGACAGAAAGGGUUGACCAGCUCUUGUAAACAUUUACAUAUUCCUCUCAGUUUAAAUAAAAAUCUAAUUUGAGCCCACAGCUUUGAAGUAGAGUUCAAAGCCCCAGCACCUCUGAGAUCUCUGGAAAAGCAACUAGCUCUCACAAGCAUGCAAAUAUGUUGCUACACAGGGAACAGAGCCAUCCUGCAAACCUGGGGAUUUGGCUGGAAGCCUUGAAGCAUUUUCUGGCACUCCUUGCUGAGGUAAAAAAAAGGGGGGGGAGCCCUCCCAAUCUUCCAGUUGUUUAGAACCUGAAAAAUAAUUCACAGAGGAGCACAACACAUUCAUGUAUUCCCUAUUUACCAGUCUCUGUUUUCUGGAACCUGUAUUUGGUAAAACAUAGAAAGGUGCUUUAAACUGAGCCAGCCCCAUAAAGGUAAAGGGACCCCUGACCAUUAGGUCCAGUCGUGGCCAACUCUGGGGUUGCGGCGCUCAUCUCGCUUUAUUGGCCGAGGGAGCCAUACACCUUCCAGGUCAUGUGGCCAGCAUGACUAAGCCGCUUCUGGCGAACCAGAGCAGCAUACAGAAAUGCUGUUUACCUUCCCACCCGAGUGGUACCUCUUUAUCUACUUGCACUUUGACAUGCUUUCGAACUGCUAGGUUGGCAGGAGCAGGGACCGAGAAACGGGAGCUCACCCCGUCGUGGGGAUUCGAACCUGCUGAGCUUCUGAUCGGCAAGUCCUAGGCUCCGUGUUUUAACCCACAACACCACCCGUGUCCUGAGCCAGCCCCACAGCACCAUCUAAUUCAGUACUGCCUACACUGACAGGCAGACUCUCUCCUGGGUUUCAGACAGUGAGUCUUUCCUAACCCUACCGGGAGUUGCUGGCAGUUGAACCUGUGGUCUUGCAGGCAUCGGGCUUCCCAUACCCCAACCCAUAUGAAUAAGAGACCAAAGAGACUGGUUUUGGUUCAAAACUGGCCACAACUUUAUUGAAUGCAGAUGAAAGAAGUCUGGCUUCGGCAUGGGGCAAUCAAAAUACUUCUGGCC